UCAUUCGCAUAAUUUUGUCUUUGAAUAC
rnacentral:piRNA from 1 species